rnacentral:rRNA from 1 species
CACCUCUAGCAUUAUUAGUAUUAGAGGCACUGCCUGCCCAGUGACAUUAGUUAAACGGCCGCGGUAUCCUGACCGUGCAAAGGUAGCAUAAUCAUUUGUUCCUUAAUUAGGGACUUGUAUGAAUGGCCUCACGAGGGUUUAACUGUCUCUUACUUUUAAUCAGUGAAAUUGACCUUCCCGUGAAGAGGCGGGAAUACUAAAAUAAGACGAGAAGACCCUAUGGAGCUUAAAUUAAAUUGUCCAACAAACUUAACUUAAAUCCAACAGGAAUAACUAAAUUUUAACUGGAUAAUAAAUUUUGGUUGGGGUGACCUCGGAGCAUAACUUAACCUCCGAGCAGUUAAAACUCAGACUUACCCGUCAAAGUGGAGCUAUUAAUUGAUCCAAUCUUAUUGAUCAACGGAACAAGUUACCCUAGGGAUAACAGCGCAAUCCUAUUUAAGAGUUCAUAUCGACAAUAGGGUUUACGACCUCGAUGUUGGAUCAGGACAUCCUAAUGGUGCAGCAGCUAUUAAA